CCCCUCUCACGGUCGCACCUGGAGAGUUUCCAGUACUCUAUCAGUGUUGACUGUGGGAGGGAGGGUCAAGCAGAGGCAUAUCCAUUCCGUUCCUAGCCUGGCCAGUGGCUAGCGAGUGGAAGGCCAUCUGCUACAAGU